GGCCCGUUCGUCUAGGGGUCUAGGACGCUGGCCUCUCACGCCAGUAACACGGGUUCGAAUCCCGUACGGGCUACCA
rnacentral:tRNA from 3 species